rnacentral:rRNA from 1 species
UACGGAGGAUGCAAGCGUUAUCCGGAAUUAUUGGGCGUAAAGAGCUCGUAGGCGGUUUGUCGCGUCUGCUGUGAAAACCUAAGGCUCAACCUUGGGCUUGCAGUGGGUACGGGCAGACUAGAGUGCGGUAGGGGUGACUGGAAUUCCUGGUGUAGCGGUGGAAUGCGCAGAUAUCAGGAGGAACACCGAUGGCGAAGGCAGGUCACUGGGCCGCAACUGACGCUGAGGAGCGAAAGCAUGGGGAGCGAACAGG